UAAAACCAGCUCUUCAAGUGGUCGGGAUUAUUAUUGGGCUUAAAGUGUUCGUAGCCUGUUUAGUAAGUUCCUGGUUAAAUCGGAUAGCUUAACUAUCUGUCUGCUAGGAAUACUACUAUACUAGGGGGCGGGAGAGGUCUGAGGUACUCCAGGGGUAGCGGUGAAAUGCUAUAAUCCUUGGGGGACCACCAGUGGCGAAGGCGUCAGACUGGAACGCGCCCGACGGUGAGGGACGAAAGCCAGGGGAGCGAACCGGAUUAGAUACCCGGGUAGUCCUGGCUGUAAACGAUGCGUGCUAGGUGUUGGUAUAGCUAUGAGCCGUAUCAGUGCCGUAGGAAAACCGAUAAGCGCGCCGCCUGGGGAGUACGGUCGCAAGGCUG
rnacentral:rRNA from 1 species